rnacentral:misc_RNA from 1 species
AAAGUCGUAACAAGGUCUCCGUAGGUGAACCUGCGGAGGGAUCAUUAACAAACUUGGGUGCGAGCCGGCGAGUGCUUCGGCACUUGCGUUGCGCUCCACACACACCACACCAUGUGUGACCGUGCGCGUGCGGGAAGUCAGAGGUCGCCGGGCGGCCUUCUUCCCGCAUGGCAAAAACUCAAACACGUCUUGACAGUUGUUGAUUGAUAUGUGAAUGGAAUCAACUUUUAACAAUGGAUCUCUUGGCUCUC